GGGGGUUAUUAUGAAAAACGAAACUCGUUCAAAAUAACGCUUAUUCGUUAAAUUGCGAUUAGAAAAAACGAUUGUAGUGGCACUAAAUCGUCAAAUUGCGAUUAAGAAAAACGAGAAUCGUAAAAAUGACGAUACUCGUAUUUUUAUUUACGAGUGCCUUCAGCUCUCGUUCAGCUUUCGUUUUGGGGGUAGAUGUCAAAUGUCAUUUAUUUUUUUGUUUGGUUGGUUUUUGUUUUGUUAAGUGCGCAAAAAAAUGCCUACAACUAAUGCUAAGCAGUUGGAUUUGCUGGUAGCUUUUAUGGAAACCAAUCCAAACAUAGCAACAAAUUACUUGCCGACGAGCCAAGACAAAGCCAAAUCUAAUACAUAUUUGAAUGCGUCCUUGUUCAACCGAUAAAGAAGCUUGAACCUGGCAAAUAUUUAAGGAGUUUUUUUUUAAUACUAGAUGGAAAGGAUUUCACUUUACUUACGUUGAACUUGGAAGGCUCAUUGGGUUCGAUGAAUCUCUUAAAACUCUUCUUUAUAUACGCAUUUCCUCUUCUUCGUUAGUUUGGGAUUCAUCUUCGCUUUCAAGGAAAUAGUCGCAGUGAAAAAACAUUUUAUAGAAUUUAUGCAAAUUACAUUUAUUUUUGAAACUUCCUCGACUUUAUUUAUAUUUUGACAUUUGUUAAUAGGAGUGAAGUUAGUUGCUCCUUUAAAAAAUUAUCAUUUUUCGUUUUUGCCUGGCAACUUUUUUUGCUUUCUAUUUUCGUAUCUUAUAAUCGCUCUUCACCAUGACUUUCGUUUCUUCGAGUUUCGUUUUUUCUGCCGUUCGUUUCGUAAUUCAUAAUAAGGGCCCUGCU